UAACCCUUUCCCCGUUGAAGCCGUCAUAUGACGGCCACUCUAGUGGUCAUUUUCAAAAAUUUGUUGUGCCCACUGUGUUGGAGCUAUGCACACACUGUAGGUACCAGCACAUGCACAUUGAGCUGCUCUUUCACAUGGUAUAUUUAAUAUCUUGCCUCAAGGUACACUUUGCACAGUACUGCUCAAAGAAAAGUGACCACAUGUGACUAAUCGAUAAUGGCUUCGAGAUCUUCUUAGAACAACCUCAGUGAGGUUCUAGGGCAGCUAGACAGUGAGGAGAACGAUGCUUGUGGCCUUGUUGAGUGAGAGGACAGUGACUGGGAUCAUAGCUAGAUAAGAAACUACCUCAAGCUAGAAAAUAUAGAGCCUGAGGAACCUGAUGAAGAAGCUCUUGGGAUGGACUGAGUUCCUGGAUCUGGCGAAGAAAACAUUUCCCGGGAAAAUGGCGUCUGCCGAUGUGACCUCAUAGACAAGUUUCUGCUGAUCCUGCUUGAACCAUGUCUCCGUGAGAACAUUGAGAACACUUAUUCAGUGUCUUUAGUCACUUUGUGCCUUCAUACAAUAUUGUUUGUGUACAUAAUUGUAAAUGUUUGUAAACAAUCACUAAUUAGGGGGGUGGUCAGUUGCUAGGUAACGAUGAUGGUGUCAAGAUACCUCUGGGGUCUGCGCUACCUGUAGGAAAUAGUUACAAGUCAUUUCAAUGUAUGGUUCAUGAUAUAUGAAUUUUUAAAGAAAAACUGUAUUUAUUCUGUAUUUUCUUUUUU